AUUGAACGCUGGCGGCAGGCCUAACACAUGCAAGUCGAACGAGUGGCGGACGGGUGAGUAAUGUCUGGGAAACUGCAUGAUGGAGGGGGAUAACUACUGGAAACGGUAGCUAAUACCGCAUACCAUCAGAUGUGCCCAGAUGGGAUUAGCUAGUGGGGGGGGUAACGGCUCACAACGGCGACGCUCCCUAGCUGGGCUGAGAGGAUGACCAGCCACACUGGAACUGAGACACGGUCCAGACUCCUACGGGAGGCAGCAGUGGGGAAGAUUGCACACUGGGUGCAAGCCUGAUGCAGCCAUGCCGCUUGUAUGAAGAAGGCCUUAGGGUUGUAAAGUACUUUCAGCGGGGAGUCGUUACCCGCAGAAGAAGCACCGGCUAACUCCGUGCCAGCAGCCGCGGUAAUAC
rnacentral:rRNA from 1 species